rnacentral:rRNA from 1 species
CCCUUAGAUGUCCUGGGCCGCACGCGCGCUACACUGAUGCAUUCAACGAGUUUUACCUUGGCCGAGAGGCCUGGGCAAUCUUUUAAACCUGCAUCGUGAUAGGGAUAGAUUAUUGCAAUUAUUAAUCUUGAACGAGGAAUUCCUAGUAAACGCAAAUCAUCAAUUUGCAUUGAUUACGUCCCUGCCCUUUGUACACACCGCCCGUCGCACCUACCGAUUGAAUGGUCCGGUGAAGCCUCGGGAUUGUGGCCAGUUCACUUUAUUGGGAGUUGGCUGUGAGAACCUGUCUAAACCUUAUCAUUUAGAGGAAGGUGAAGUCGUAACA